GUUCCCAUCUCAUGAUGAACCCAUGUGCCUCUGAGCUGCCAUGACUCGGGCUUCAAAGUAAACGCUCUGAAGAGCUGGAAUGGAA
rnacentral:snoRNA from 1 species